ACCUGGUUGGCUCAGUUGGUGGAGCAUGUGACUCUUGAUCUCAAGGUUUUGAGUUCGAGCCCCGCCUUGGGUG
rnacentral:tRNA from 1 species